rnacentral:rRNA from 1 species
GGGGAAUAUUGCGCAAUGGGGGAAACCCUGACGCAGCAACGCCGCGUGAAGGAUGAAGGCCUUCGGGUUGUAAACUUCUUUGAUCAGGGAAGAAUAAUGACGGUACCUGAAAAACAAGCCACGGCUAACUACGUGCCAGCAGCCGCGGUAAUACGUAGGUGGCGAGCGUUGUCCGGAAUUACUGGGUGUAAAGGGCGUGUAGGCGGGAUUGUAAGUCAGAUGUGAAAUUCCGAGGCUCAACCUCGGCGCUGCAUCUGAAACUAUAGUUCUUGAGUGCUGGAGAGGAAAGCGGAAUUCCUAGUGUAGCGGUGAAAUGCGUAGAUAUUAGGAGGAACACCAGUGGCGAAGGCGGCUUUCUGGACAGUAACUGACGCUGAGGCGCGAAAGCGUGGGGAGCGAAC